ensembl:lncRNA
GCUGACCAGAGUGCUGGGAGCGCGGAUCCCGGGCCGGGAGCGGGAAAAGAGAAACGAGAGGGGCCAGAGGGCAAAAUGGACGCAAGACAGAGAACUCAAGAGAAAAAGAAAAAGAUUCAUUGGAAAGCAGGUAAAGAGGAGAAACCUGGACAUAACUUCUGAGCCAUAUUUUUGGAACCGUGCCUCUAUUGUCUGGGCCUGCGACUCUGACGUCUACUAAAUAUGAGGAAUUAUGAAGUGAUUGUUAAAUAUUUGAACAGCUAAGGGAAACCGGAAGUAAUGAGAAACAAAACACCCUACAGAUCUGAGUCACAGGAGAUCCACUGUGGCAGGCCCUGUCAACCUCAGCUCCAGCCAUUGUUUUAUGUGUAUAUAUGCCCAGAGAAGAAGCUGUCUGUCUGAAGGUCCCAACUGCCAGCCAUUUAAACUGGGAAGAACAGAAACACAGUUGGAGAACCUCACUCUUCCACUUAGCUCUGAUCAGAAAUUGUUUUUUGCCAGGACUGAGAGGCCACUAGAAUAUCUGUAUCUAAAUGAAACUAUUGUUUUUUGCUGGUUACUCUUUAGGUUUUAAUUUUCCACUGUUAUGUGGACGAUAUGUAAAGUUAAGAUGUAUGAUCGCGUUUUUGGGAGGAUGAGGCAUGGGAUUGUGAGUUUGAUAGCUGGAACUAGUUUACAUCUCGUUUGUUGAGACAUGGGUUCAAUCUGUAGCCUAGAUUGUCCUAGAACUUUCUGUGUAGUCCAGGCUGCUUUGAACUUAUGGAUAUCCUCUUACCUUAGCUUCUAGAAUGCUGAGAUCAUACAUGUGAGCCGUUAUGCUCUAUGUAUAUGUAUUUCUCAA